AGUGAACGCUGGCGGCGUGCUUAACACAUGCAAGUCGAACGCUGAAGCCCGAAGCUUGCUUCGGGUGGAUGAGUGGCGAACGGGUGAGUAACACGUGAGUAACCUGCCCCUGAUUUCGGGAUAAGCCUGGGAAACUGGGUCUAAUACCGGAUACGACCACCUGACGCAUGUCGGGUGGUGGAAAGUUUUUCGAUCGGGGAUGGGCUCGCGGCCUAUCAGCUUGUUGGUGGGGUAAUGGCCUACCAAGGCGACGACGGGUAGCCGGCCUGAGAGGGCGACCGGCCACACUGGGACUGGGACACGGCCCAGACUCCUGCGGGAGGCAGCAGUGGGGAAUAUUGCACAAUGGGGGAAACCCUGAUGCAGCGACGCAGCGUGCGGGAUGACGGCCUUCGGGUUGUAAACCGCUUUCAGCAGGGAAGAAGCGAAAGUGACGGUACCUGCAGAAGAAGUACCGGCUAACUACGUGCCAGCCGCCGCCGUAA
rnacentral:rRNA from 1 species